rnacentral:rRNA from 1 species
CCUACGGGUGGCAGCAGUGAGGAAUAUUGGUCAAUGGACGAGAGUCUGAACCAGCCAAGUAGCGUGAAGGAUGACUGCCCUAUGGGUUGUAAACUUCUUUUAUAUGGGAAUAAAACGUUCCACGUGUGGGAUUUUGUAUGUACCAUAUGAAUAAGGAUCGACUAACUCCGUGCCAGCAGCCGCGGUAAUACGGAGGAUCCGAGCGUUAUCCGGAUUUAUUGGGUUUAAAGGGAGCGUAGGUGGAUUGUUAAGUCAGUUGUGAAAGUUUGCGGCUCAACCGUAAAAUUGCAGUUGAAACUGGCAGUCUUGAGUACAGUAGAGGUGGGCGGAAGUCGUGGUGUAGCGGUGAAAUGCUUAGAUAUCACGAAGAACUCCGAUUGCGAAGGCAGUUCACUGGACUGCAACUGACACUGAGGCUCGAAAGUGUGGGUAUCAAACAGGAUUAGAUACCCUGGUAGUC